AACGUACGGCCAUACUGAUAUGCACAUGCCUAGAAAGGGGAAAUUGAGAGUUUAAUAAACGAGAUGUUGGAGGCUAGGAUCAUCAAGCCAAGUGGCUCUCAAUAACAUCACGGUCCCAGAUAAGUUUCCCAUACCAGUGGUGGAGGAACUACUUGAUGAAUUGCACGGAUCUAGGGUGUAUUCGAAGAUUGACUUGAGAUCGAGCUACCAUCAAAUCCGUAUGGCAGUAGAGGAUACCCACAAAACAACCUUCAGGACUCGUGAACACUAUGAGUUCUUGGUGAUGCCCUUCGGUUUGACCAAUGCCCCGUCAACCUUUCAGGUGCUAAAGAAUAAUGUAUUUCGUCCAUUCCUACAAAGGUGCGUGCUCAUCUUCUUUGAUGAUAUUCUGAUAUAUAGCCUUAAUCUUCAAUCUCACUUGACUCAUUUGGCCAUGGUGUUCAAUAUGCUGAGGGACAAUAAGAUGUUUGUGAACCUAAAGAAGUGCCACUUCGUCGUAGAAUGCAUAGAAUACUUGGGCUAUUGGGUGUCGGCUAAGGGUUUGGAAGCAGACUCAUCCAAGAUAGCAGCCAUGAUUCAAUGGCCAGUGUAAAAGAGCUUCAAGGCUUUCUGGGGUUGACGGGCUAUUAUCGGAAGUUUGUAGCCAAUUAUGGCACUAUAGCUGCUCAUCUAACACAGUUUCUCAAGAAGGAUGGCUUCCAAUGGACUGAGCAGACCACAGAGGCCUUUGAAAAGCUAAAAAUGGCAAUGGAGACAUUACCCAUUUUGGCGCUACCAGAUUUCACCAUCCCUUUCAUGAUUGAAAUGGAUGCAUCAGACACUGGCUUAGGGGCCGUCCUCACCCAGAACCAGCAGCCCAUCGCCCAUCGCCUACUCCACGGAUUCCCUUGAUCCAUCAUCUCCAACAGAGAUAAAGUCUUUAUCAGCCAUUUUUGAAUUGAGUUAUUCAAGUUGCAGGGCACUACUCCGAAACAAAGUACCACGUACCAUCCACAAACGGAUGGGCAAUCAAAGAUCGUCAAUCGAUGCUUGGAAACAUACCUCAGGUGUUUUAACAGUGAGAAGCCCAAACAAUGGGGUCACUGGCUACCGUGGGCAGAAUACUGGUAUAACACCACCUACCACAACUCUCUUGGCUCAACCCCUUUCCAGGCAGUGUACGGACGGGCCCCUCCACCAUUGAUCCUUUAUGGGAGCCAAAGGACCAUGAAUGCCACCUUCGACCAACAGCCGACAGAGAGGUACUUGGCCUUAGAAUGACUGAAGGAACAUUAGAAGCUACUAGCUAUGAGUAGGGUGAGCGAGUAGGCCUAUAAGGGGAGGAAAUGUUGUAAGGAGAGGAUCAUUCUGGUUUUCUGUGCUUUUGCUAGCUUAGUAGCUGUUUUGGGAGAGAUUCCCCACCUCUCGAAUUGGUGGGUUGGCUUUUGUAUUGCCUUCGGGCCUUAUCUUUUGAGUAAAGAAAUCUUGUGGGGAGAUACCUCACACUACCUUGCUCCAUGGGCAGGAGAAGUUUAUCCCAUU